CACAGGGGCUAGAUAAGUUAAGGACUGCCCAGGAGGAGGGGGCAGCAGCCAUGAGGAAGACUCAGAGACAGAGAAGAGCUGUACCAUCUGAAACUUGCUGUCUCUCAAAACUCAUGAUCAAGGAACUGCCUGCCUCCAGAGGGAAUCUCCACCUGCCUCUGGAUGAUACUUUGCACAUACAACACAUCAUGGAUCUACGAUAUAGACAGCAUUACCUGCUAUAUAGAUUUGACCCUGUCCCUCUGAGAGGCAGAAGAGGAAGAUGGGGACUGAUGGUCUGAUUACAUAGGAACAACAGGAAUGCAACUACAGGUAACUUUCUAAAUGGCAGAAUACACAGUUCAUCCAACAACAAGGAAAAUUUCCAAGGCCACAUACAAAUGCUAAGGGGAAACAGCACACCUGCAAUUCAUUCUUGUACUUAAGAACUGCAGAUUCCGCAGCUUCACUCCAGUUUUCCCAUGAAUUAACCAGCACAAAAACAAUUCAGGAAACAGAUUUUUAGAGAGCCAAGCAUUCAAACGUUUGAACGCUAUUUCUAAGCUAACCUGAUCAUAGAGCUAACUUCAUAUAGUGGACUCCUCGACUCACAUAAAACCUGGCUGAAUUCAAUUAAUCCCCAAAAAAGCAUAGGGGAUUUGCCUUUACAGUCAGCUACAGGACUGGAGCGACAUUUUGUAAAACUAAUACAUUAAAAAAACAGAGAGAGAAUAAGAAAUCUGUGGGUCGUGAA